rnacentral:rRNA from 1 species
CAGCGUUAUCCGGAUUCAUUGGGUUUAAAGGGUGCGUAGGCGGCUUUUUAAGUCAGUGGUGAAAUCUUGCCGCUUAACGGUAAAAUUGCCAUUGAUACUGACAAGCUUGAGUACAGUUGAGGUAGGCGGAAUGUGUAGUGUAGCGGUGAAAUGCUUAGAUAUUACACAGAACACCGAUUGCGAAGGCAGCUUACUAAACUGUUACUGACGCUAAUGCNCGAAAGCGUGGGGAGCGAACAGGAUUAGAUCCCUGGUAGUCCACGCCGUAAACGAUGCUCACUCGCUGUAUGCGAUACACAGUAUGCGGCCAAGCGAAAGCAUUAAGUGACCACCUGGGGAGUACGAUCGCAAGGUUGAAACUCAAAGGAAUUGACGGGGGCCCGCACAAGCGGAGGAACAUGUGGUUUAAUUCGAUGAUACGCGAGGAACCUUACCUGGGCUUAAAUGUAGAGCGACAGCUUGUGAAAGCAGGCUUUCUUCGGACGAUCUACAAGGUGCUGCAUGGUUGUCGUCAGCUCGUGCCGUGAGGUGUCGGGUUAAGUCCCAUAACGAGCGCAACCCUUAUCGUUAGUUGCCAGCGGGUCAAGCCGGGGACUCUAGCGAGACUGCCACCGUAAGGUGUGAGGAAGGUGGGGAUGACGUCAAAUCAGCACGGCCCUUAUGUCCAGGGCUACACACGUGUUACAAUGGCCGAUACAAAGGGCAGCUACCAGGUGACUGGAUGCUAAUCUCUAAAGUCGGUCUCAGUUCGGAUCGAAGUCUGCAACCCGACUUCGUGAAGCUGGAUUCGCUAGUAAUCGCGCAUCAGCCAUGGCGCGGUGAAUACGUUCCCGGGCCUUGUACACACCGCCCGUCAAACAAUGGAAGCUGGGGGUACCUGAAGUCUGUAACCGCAAGGAGCGGCCUAGGGUAAAACU